rnacentral:lncRNA from 1 species
ACUUUUCAAAGUGAGCUCCAAAGUCCUAAGAACCUAAAACCUCUACCAGUGAGGCAUUAGGUCUAAGAAAACCACCAACAAAAUGCAAAUAGGGGCACUCUAAAAAAAUAUGUACGAGAAGUUCGUAUUCCUACCAGUAUGCUCUCAAGCAAAUAGUAAGAACCUACCCAAUACGACUAAGAGUAGCAUGAUACAUUGCGGUAUACUGAUAGAAUAGUAUAAAACAGUGAAAUAAAUGUACAGCUGCUACAAGUACCGACAUGAAUAAAUCUCACAAAGUUACAUAAAGCCAGACACAAAAUAUACUACGUAUAAUUUAAUAUACAUAAAGGUUAAGUACUAGUAAAUCUAAUAUUUUAUCUUAAAAUUCGGAAUAUAGUGACUUACAGACAGACGAGUAAUAAUUAAGAGACAGUAAUAUAGUUGUGUACGUGGUGGCCAUAUAAUUAUCUUUAUGAUAUCAUUGGUGCAGAGCAAUUGUGUAUAUUUAUGUAUGCCAUGCUUCCAUUAAAUGUUUAUUUAAAAUAAAUUCAUCUAAGGGCUGGAGAAAUGGUAGAUACAGAUAUUUCUUGAUAUCUACAUGGGGAUCCUUUAAGAAUUUUAUACUUACCAAAAUCUUGAGUGCACAAUAGACAUACCAAGUAUUGACAUUUGGAUUAUAAUAAUCAGGCUGCCAUAUUAUCUAUGUAAAAACCAAAAGAAAAGCUGAUAUAUGCAUAUAAUUCUAGCACUUGGGAGGCAAAGGUAGGAGGAGUGUGAUUUUGAAGUUAGCUUGGGCUACAUAAGACUCUGUCUUGGUUUCUUUUCUUUUUGCUUGUUUGUUUUGUUUUCUAAGAUCUAUUUUAUAUAUGUAAGUACACUGUCACUGUCUUCAUACACACCAUAAGAGGGUAUUAGAUCCCAUUGUAGAUGGUUGUGAGCCACCAUGUCAUUGCUGGGAUUUGAACUCAGGACCUCUGGAAGAGCAGUCAGUGCUCUUAACCACUGAGCCAUCUCUCCUGCCCGUUCUUGGGUAUUUUUUUAAAGGUGACAUUUUAGUUCCAGUAAACCCAGAAUUUGUUGAAUACUGUGUCAUAACAUAGUCAGAUAAGCAUGCCAGUUCUCUUUAGAACAUAUUAUUUUCAAGUGUGUGUUUUAUGAAUACCCAUUGGUUUAGCUUCCACAUUUAUUUCCUGCUAACCCUGGUUUUAAAGAAUAAGACUAAGUUUAAUAAAUCACUGCUAAAAUUACAAAAAAAAGAAUACCCAAUGUUUUAGAGUUCUAGAAUAACAGACUUAUAGAAUGUAUCUGUCUAUUCAUCUGUCCAUCAGUCCAUCUAUCCAUCUAUAUGACUACCAUCCAUCUUUCUCCUCUCUGUCUCUAGCUAGGGUAUUAUUUUAGAAUGGCUGACAGGCUAUGGUCCAGCUAGUCCAACAUGGCUGGCUACCAAUGGAUAAUCCUCGAAUCCGGUAGCUAUUCAGUCUAUGAAACUGGAUGUAUCAGCUGGGCUUCAAUAUAUACCCGAAUACCAAAGAAGUGGGCUCUAAUGCUAGUGAAGGAAUGGACUUGCCAGAGAGAAGGAGAACUAGACAGAAAAGCUUCCUUCUUCCAUGUCCUUUAUAUAGGCUACCAGCAGAAGGUGUGGCCCAGAUUAAAUAUAGACCUUCCUACUUCAAAAGAUCGGGAUUAAAGUUGGGUCUUCCCACUUCAAGUUAUUUAAGAAAAAAUUCCUUACAGGAGUACCCAGCUGCUUGAGUUUCAGUUAAUAUCAGAUAUAGUCCAGCUAGCCAAUAAAGUAGACUGUUACAAAUGAAAAAUACUGGAAAUGUACCAGAUGUAAUGGUAUUUGCAAGAUUAUAUUCGACUAUCUGCAUCUAUUUAAAAGAAAUAAAAAUAAGAGGGUGAACAGACAGUCAGUGAGUAAAUGCACCAGCUGCUCUACCGAAGGCCUGGGUUUGAGUCCCAGCAUUUACAUAGGGGCUUACAACAGUCGGUGACUCCAGUCCCUAGGUAUCUGAUGCCUUUUCUGGUCUUCAUAACUACCAGGCAUGCAUGUGGUACACAGACAUACAUGCAGGCAAAACACAGACACACUAAAAGAAGAAAUUUAAAGAGAAAAGAAGUGAAACAGGAUAUAAAUUCUGAUGGGACUAUAAGACUAUCCUUUAACAUAGCUCGUGCCAUUCAACAGAAACAGCUAAUAUAUGAUCCAUACUUUUCUAAAUUUCAAGGAAAAAAAGUUUUAGGCAUAUAAGCUUCCAUCAAAAAUAUCAAUCCAGUAUCUACAAAUACUGCUGAGAGGAAGCUAAUCUCUCUCUCUCUCUCUCUCACACACACACACACACACACACACACCUGUAAUUCUUUUUAUAUGGAAUUCAAAAACAUUCAAAGGAAAACAACAAUUGCAGUGGUGGUAUUGCCAACUGUGGCUCUAAAGAAUACUGAGUCUCUCUGGGUAUUAGACAUACCCUAUGUGGUGACAAGGGUGUCUGAGUGUGCUGAAUUGUUGAGUCUCUCUGGGUAUUAGACAUACCCUAUAUGGUGACACUGGUGUCUGAGUACACUGAAUUGUAAUCUGGCACUUGAAUAUUUGUGUUUCUAAGACAGGUUUCUACCUUUUAUCCCAAAUGAAAAACUGUAGAGGUCUUAAGAAUGUCAUUCAACAUAGCCUAUUUUGUCCUUGUCAUGAUGAAUUAAAAGAAAUAUCCAAUGUC